UAGAGACUUCAUACCAAGCCUUUGCUCCAUGAAGUGUGUACCCAGGAUUGAUUCGGAGCUUAUUCUACAGGAGAUAACCCCCGCUGGGGUGAUGAAUGUGUACGUUCAGACGAGGGAUCCAGAAGCGGAGGAGUGACGCUUUCCAGAAGGACGUGUCAGGGUUAAUUAUGAAGGAAGUAACUAAAGUACAGAAGACCAGCACUGCCUCCUAUUAUCGUGGCAUCCAACCAAUGGCAGAUCGGACGGCCACCCGCUUCAGUUGUACUAUUUCUCAAAGCUUCAACUCUCACCUCUGAAAGCAGCCUGCGUCCUCCAAGCUUGUCCUCCCCAGCCUGCACCUCUUCUCUGAGUCCAAUUCCAUUCAUUAAUUCCUUUAAAAUGGAUUUACUUAGCAUCUACUGGUGUGUGUUUGGUGCUGGAGAUACAGUAAGGCAUGAUCUCCUCCCUUCAGGAGCUCACAGACUGUGGGGGGGGGGGGGGGUGGAACAGUAACACCGGAGUUGGGGAAGGGACUUUCCACAGGAGACGACCUUCCUAUGGUCAUUUGCACCUGCCGAAGGCCCAACGUUUUGAAUAAAUAAUUAAUAAUUUUCUCUCCAAAACGUACGUUGCUUCCUAAUUUCCCCCAUCCUGCUGUAUAGCACUACUAUUCAGUUCCCCAGCGAUUUAAGUGUAAAACCUGGUGUUUCUGUUUUCUUCAACCCCCUGGAGCCAUUCGCCAUGGGGUCUUGUUGGCUCCCACCUCUCACUUGAGGUCCCCAGAGCCUUGGGGACAAUCAUGCCCAGAGACUUUGGCUGUUACCUCUUCACCAGAAUUCCCGGCACCUGGCAUUGUCAAAGUUAAACAAAAAACAAAACAAGCUCACUGGCUCCAGCCACCCACUCGU